rnacentral:rRNA from 1 species
ACGCUACGGAGCUAAUACAUGCAGUCGAACGGUGUCUUCGGACAUAGUGGCGCACGGGUGCGUAACACGUAUGCAACCUACCUUACAUUGGGGGAUAGCCUUUCGAAAGGGAGAUUAAUACCGCAUAAGACAGUAGCUGGGCAUCCGGCAGCUGUUAAAGAUUUAUCGAUGUAAGCUGGGCAUGCGUCCAAUUAGCUAGUUGGUGAGGUAAUGGCUCACCAAGGCAAUGAUUGGUAGGGAACUGAGAGGUCAAUCCCCCACACUGGCACUGAGAUACGGGCCAGACUCCUACGGGAGGCAGCAGUAGGGAAUAUUGGGCAAUGGACGCAAGUCUGACCCAGCCAUGCCGCGUGCAGGAUGAAGGCGUUAUGCGUUGUAAACUGCUUUUAUACAGGAAGAAACGACUCUUGCGAGAGGCAUUGACGGUACUGUAUGAAUAAGCACCGGCUAACUCCGUGCCAGCAGCCGCGGUAAUACGGAGGGUGCAAGCGUUGUCCG